GUCUCAAUAGCUUAGUGGUUAGAGUGUUGUCACUGUACGCUAGAGGACCUGGGUAUGAGUCCCGGUUGAGACU
rnacentral:tRNA from 1 species